UGUGUGUGCAGGAGAGGAGCCGAGCAGAGAGAGCUGCUUUUUCAUGAAACGGGAGUAAAGUAGUGAACUUAGAGGAGAGAAACGAACUAAAGUAUCGAUCAUGAACCACUACCAACGUCCUGAUCGAUAUCUGCAUCGAUCUGCCCACCCUUGUCUCCUGGAUCGUAGCUGAGAUCAGCGUGAACCACGUGGGUCUCUGCUCCCUGAUCUGUUUCCUGUGUUUGGAAAGAGUUGCAGCUUCAUCACGGAGUUUGUGGGCUCAUUUAAAGCUGAGUAACGGGAGGAGAAGAGUCUGGUGGAGCAGCUAAUUUCAGCCAUUUGGACUCAGCUCAGCCACUACAGAGGAAACGAUGACUUUAACACAAAAGUGAGUUCCUCGGGCAGCAGAAAUCCAAGGAAGAGGAGGAACCAUAAUGGGAGGACAGGCCCCUGCACGG